AGAGUUUGAUCCUGGCUCAGAACGAACGCUGGCGGCAGGCCUAACACAUGCAAGUCGAACGCCCCGCAAGGGGAGUGGCAGACGGGUGAGUAACGCGUGGGAACAUACCCUUUCCUGCGGAAUAGCUCCGGGAAACUGGAAUUAAUACCGCAUACGCCCUACGGGGGAAAGAUUUAUCGGGGAAGGAUUGGCCCGCGUUGGAUUAGCUAGUUGGUGGGGUAAAGGCCUACCAAGGCGACGAUCCAUAGCUGGUCUGAGAGGAUGAUCAGCCACAUUGGGACUGAGACACGGCCCAAACUCCUACGGGAGGCAGCAGUGGGGAAUAUUGGACAAUGGGCGCAAGCCUGAUCCAGCCAUGCCGCGUGAGUGAUGAAGGCCUUAGGGUUGUAAAGCUCUUUCACCGGAGAAGAUAAUGACGGUAUCCGGAGAAGAAGCCCCGGCUAACUUCGUGCCAGCAGCCGCGGUAAUACGAAGGGGGCUAGCGUUGUUCGGAAUUACUGGGCGUAAAGCGCACGUAGGCGGAUAUUUAAGUCAGGGGUGAAAUCCCAGAGCUCAACUCUGGAACUGCCUUUGAUACUGGGUAUCUUGAGUAUGGAAGAGGUAAGUGGAAUUCCGAGUGUAGAGGUGAAAUUCGUAGAUAUUCGGAGGAACACCAGUGGCGAAGGCGGCUUACUGGUCCAUUACUGACGCUGAGGUGCGA
rnacentral:rRNA from 1 species